UAAUUUUCAUUUGCUCCUCGUUCUGUUACAAAAGGGGAGAAGAAUUUAGAAAGUUCUCUGCAAGCAUUGCAAAUGAUCGAUAUUCAAGACUCACCAAAUUAGAGGAACUGCAGCUUUCUUGGUAUCUCCUUUCCUGUCAAUAAAAAAUGGCCCAAGAAAAGAUUGCCCAUUUUCCGAUAAUACAGAAACAAAGUGUUCCAAGAAGCUGAGAUAUCUACCAGCAAGGGUGUGGUGCCCCAACAGAUGCUGCCAUGCUGAUUUGUAGAUGACCUUAAAGUCCGGUUUGCUGUACAGUGUGCACUAGAAGGAAGUAUAACUUGAGAUUCAAAUCAAAUUAAAUGAGAAGGUUAAAAACUUUUUUCUUUUGAGAUCAAAUUGUAAUGUUGGGUAAGCUGUAUUACUCAUCAUUGGAUUACUUCAUAAUUGCAGUUACAUUUAUUCUCAAGCUAAGCUAAUUUUACUGUCUUUAGUUUUCUUUCUUUAUAUUUUUUCCUAAAAGACUUCUGGUUGUAGGUCAGAUGGAACCAUAACUUGUUAUGGUUUCCUAACUUAAAGUCUUUGUAGCAGUGACUUUAGAUAUUCUAGAUUAUGAGGUACACAUCUAGGAUUAGCCUUACAUACUGAUUAUCAUCAUAUAUAUCUUGUUUUGAAUGUUCAAACUUUAGUACUAAUCAAUGGCAUAAACUAUGAUAUUCGGU